rnacentral:rRNA from 1 species
GCUCAGGAUGAACGCUAGCUACAGGCUUAACACAUGCAAGUCGAGGGGUAGCAGGGUAGCAAUACCGCUGACGACCGGCGCACGGGUGAGUAACACGUAUCCAACCUUCCCAUAACUCGGGGAUAGCCUUUCGAAAGAAAGAUUAAUACCCGAUAGUACUUUAUUAAGGCAUCUUAAGAAAGUUAAAGAUUUAUUGGUUAUGGAUGGGGAUGCGUUCCAUUAGAUAGUUGGUGAGGUAACGGCUCACCAAGUCUUCGAUGGAUAGGGGUUCUGAGAGGAAGGUCCCCCACAUUGGUACUGAGACACGGACCAAACUCCUACGGGAGGCAGCAGUGAGGAAUAUUGGUCAAUGGGCGAGAGCCUGAACCAGCCA